rnacentral:rRNA from 1 species
CCUACGGGAGGCAGCAGUGGGGAAUAUUGGGCAAUGGACGCAAGUCUGACCCAGCAACGCCGCGUGAAGGAAGAAGGCUUUCGGGUUGUAAACUUCUUUUAAGGGGGAAGAGCAGAAGACGGUACCCCUUGAAUAAGCCACGGCUAACUACGUGCCAGCAGCAGCGGUAAUACGUAGGUGGCAAGCGUUGUCCGGAUUUACUGGGUGUAAAGGGCGUGCAGCCGGAUGGACAAGUCAGAUGUGAAAUCCACGGGCUCAACCCGUGAACUGCAUUUGAAACUGUUUCCCUUGAGUGUCGGAGAGGUAAUCGGAAUUCCUUGUGGAGCGGUGAAAUGCGUAGAUAUAAGGAAGAACACCAGUGGCGAAGGCGGGUUACUGGACGAUAACUGACGGUGAGGCGCGAAAGCGUGGGGAGCGAACAGGAUUAGAUACCCGAGUAGUC